UGUGAACCCUGCUGCGUUUCUCUGAAGAAUACAAGGCAGUACACAUCUCUGCUGAAAUUAACUGAUACCUUUGAUAGUUUAAAAUAAUUUAUAUUGAAUUGAAGAAGUUUAUCAGUAAGCUUCAGAAGCACAGAAAAUAUACUGAAUACAUUGAAUUUUCACUUCUGUCAACAUACAUUUGUUUUAUAGAAAUGGGGAGCAAUAUUGAAGGUAUACAUCCCAAAACCACAUUGGAAGCCUGAACUUGAAGAAAGAAUUAAAACUACACUUUACAGCUUCUCGACAGCAUCACCACUCUUGCACUUUAGGCAUAUUAAGUAAAAUAAAGAUUAUGUGAACAUAAGCACUGUGAUCUUGUGACAGUUGACUUGAUAGGUGACGUGGCUACUGACUAAUUGAUGGGUUGCAAACAAAGGGUUGAUUAUUUC